AUUGAACGCUGGCGGCAGGCCUAACACAUGCAAGUCGAACGAGGGGCGGACGGGUGAGUAAUGUCUGGGAAACUGCCUGAUGGAGGGGGAUAACUACUGGAAACGGUAGCUAAUACCGCAUACCAUCAGAUGUGCCCAGAUGGGAUUAGCUAGUUGGGGGGGUAACGGCGCACCAAGGCGACGAUCCCUAGCUGGUCUGAGGGGAUGACCGGCCACACUGGAACUGGGACACGGUCCAGACUCCUACGGUGGGAGGCAGUGGGGAAUAUUGGAACAUGGGCGCAAACCUGAUGGAGACAUGCCGCGUGUAUGAAGAAGGCCUUCGGGUUGUAAAGUACUUUCAGCGGGGAGGCGUUACCCGCAGAAGAAGCACCGGCUAACUCCGUGCCAGCCGCCGCGGUAAUUC
rnacentral:rRNA from 1 species